rnacentral:tRNA from 1 species
GGGGGAUUAGCUCAAUAGUAGAGUAUCGCAUUGACAUUGCGAGGGUAGACGGAGCGUAACCGUCAUCCCCCACCA